UGAAAGACUUUGUAUCAAUUCGAAGUGAUGAUGGUAAUCGGAUACACGUCCAAAAAAGACUUAUCCUGUCUAACUUAAAAGAAUUAUACCAAUGUUUCUGUGAAAUAAAUCCUGCUGAGAGAAUUGGAUUUUCAAAAUUCGCUUCUUUGCGACCAAAACAUUGUGUGUUAGCAGGGGCAAGUGGAACACACACCAUCUGCGUGUGUACGAUUCAUCAAAACGUGAAGUUAAUGAUGCUUGGUGCAAAUAUUUAUUCUUUGACAAGGAACACAGAAAAGCCCAUUAAACACUACAGCGAUUACUUGAGCAUGAUUAUAUGUGAAAAUCCAUCUUUUCAGUGUUAUUUAGGUGGAUGUAAAAACUGUCCUGGGGUCGAUGAGUUGAGUAAAAUUUUACUAAAAUGUUUUGAGGACCGGGAAAUCGAGAAUAUUACAUAUAAAUAUUGGAUAUCAAAACCGAGAAGUAGUUUAGAAACUAUUAUUAAGCCUACAGAAGAAUUUGUGAAAAAUUUUGUAGUGAGUUAGAAAUUCUUCUACCUCAUUCGUUCAUUGCUAAGGAGCAAGCCCAAUUCUUGAAGACAUUGAAAGAAACAUUGAAACCAAACGAAUACGUUAUUAUUUGUGAUUUUGCAGAAAAUUAUGCCUUCGUAGUACAAAAUGCGGCAGCUGGUUUUCACUGGAAUAAUAAUCAGGCAACAGUUUUUCCAGUCGUUAUUUAUUAUAAAGUAAAUAACAAACUUGAACACAAAAGUUUAGUAAUUAUCUCAGAUUCUAACAAACAUGAUGCCGUUGCUGUUCAUGUUUUCAUCGAAAUAAUAACUGAUUACGUGAAAAGUCUUCCUGAACGUUGUAACAAGAUUUAUUAUUUUUCUGAUGGAGCUCCUCAACAAUUUAAAAACUUUAAAAACUUUGUAAAUUUAUAUUACCACGAAGAUGAUUUUGAUAUUCCUGCUGAAUGGCAUUUUUUGCGACUGCCCAUGGGAAAGGUCCGUGUGAUGGAAUCGGUGGUAUUCUCAAACGACUUGCAGCGAGAGCAAGUCUCCAACUCGCGGUAGACAAACAAAUAACGACACCAGAAGAACUUUUUGAAUGGGCUUCUGCACCGGAUAACUUGCCGAAUAUUAUAGUGAAGUUUUCCCCAGAAGAAGAUUAUGACACAGCAGUAAAUGAUUUAAAUGAUCGAUUUUUGAAAACGAAACCGAUUACAGGAACUCAACAACUACAUUGUAUAAUUCCGGACAAAAAUGGUUGUUUACUAGUUAAAAACUUUUCGAAUUCGAAUGAACACAGAAUUUGUAAAAUAUUUAAACGACAGAGAGAAAAGUAAUUAAU
rnacentral:lncRNA from 1 species